AUCUGGUUUUCCAGUUGCUGAGGGAGAUGUCAGCAAGCAAGGAGUGACAGGAGCCCUGAGCUGCUUCUGGGUCUUUCUCUCCUCGAGUGCCCAGAAAAGCUGGGUGGGCGGCUCAGGCAGGGAGAUGAGGCCACCUGCCAUUCCGACCUCCCCCAGAUAACUAUGGGGUUCCUACAGGCCCCCCCAGGCCUCACACCUGGUAGGCUUAGCCUCUGGGACCCCUUGGUAACCUGCUCCCAGAGGGAGGAGUGGAAUUCCAACCAUGCCAUUGUGUGCCUAAAUGAGGAGAGGAAAGACAUUUAAUCCAGAUCUUUCCCUUUCAGCCAGUGAUCAAAAGUAGCUUUUGUGUGAAGCUUCAAAAAUUGCAGAUAGUAAAGAACUAUCACUCUGUCCUCAUCUUGAUCUGUACCACUGCCUGUCCCCCUUCCCUGCAAGCUUCUGGUUUCUUCCUGUGGUCAGGACAUGCUGUCUCUCCAGAAUUUCUAGGACAUUCCCCGCCUUCCCCAGCCUUCUGGCAAGUGACCCACCAGAAGAAAAUUGGACAUUGUUUGGUGUGCUGUGUACAAGUGCUCUGCUUGGUUUAUGAUGCAAGACUAACAAAGCCUGGCCUGUUUAGCUCACUUGAGGAAACGUGGCUGCGCAAGACACAGUGCAAAGGGAGGGAGACUUGAAGGCCGGCCUGACUCACAGCUGCUUCCACAAACUCGGACUUUGUUCUCUUCCUAACUCCUCCUCCAGAAAGCCCCAACUACUUAUCUCAGGAUGUGCAUGGACAGAACAGAAAGUCUAGGCCAUGAAGGAAGUAACGAGAAGUCACAAGGUAAUGAGAAGACUUAAGCCCAGUGAUGCUGAUUCUGACCGCCCAGGGGCCACAUCUCGGCAGUGAUGGGAGUCCGGAUGACAGAUACCCAGGACCAAGGGGCCAGAAUGAGCUCUAUGAAAGUCUUCAUUCAAACAUGGCAGCAUUGUAAGCAAGGAUUUAAGAAGUGCAGCUUAAUUGUCGAAGCAAGCAGUCUUGUCAACACAAAUACACACUUUGAAGUUGGCACCAUCAUUAGAAACAACCUGUGCGGCAACGGUGCCCAGAAUCAACAUGCAAGAAGCAGCGGAAGCCCCCUGACAUUUGGCAGUUUAAGGAGCUAAUGAUGGGACACAUCUUUCACAUGAUAUUUUUCAUCCAUGAACCCUCUUUGGCUUUGGAUUGUCGCACCAUUUCUGGGAGCCAAUGCCCUCAGCACUCAGUAACCUUCCGUGGACUGGAUGCAACGCAGCUGAUGUGUCCCCUACCUACCGAAGGACAUCUUGGCUGCUUCCAAGUUUUGCCAAUUACGAAUGAAGCUGCUCUAAAAAUCUGCACGCAGGCUUUUGUGUGGACAUGUUUUCAACUCCUUUGGGAGCCCCGUCUGGCGUCCCAGUGAGACGCACACGCUGACCUGGCGGCUGGAGAAGCUCAGAGCCAGGUGGACCCUGAGCUCUGGACGAGGCCAUGCGGACCGGCCACUGUGAGGAAACCUGAAUAAAAGACUGUGAUACAGCAAUGCUGUCUCCGCUCAUGAAGAGUGUAUGAAAAGGUCCUCCACCCCAGCACAGCGUGCUCCGGGGUCCCGCACGCCACCGAGCACAGCUCACCCGGAGCGCGACGUCACACGAUGAACAAACGGCAGCUGAUCAGUUCUGUUGGUUUGUUUCUCUUCAAGGUUCAAAUUAACAGCUGAUUGGCAGGUGAAAGAGAAUGAGAAAGAACUCCAAGACAGGUCAAACUCUAGGCAAAAGCCUGCUCUGUAAGAAGUUUUUAACGCUACGGAUAGGUCGAACAUCGUUCUGGUGUUUGCGCCGCUCAAUGAAGGAAGUCAGUCUGGACGUGUCGAGGACGCCCGCGCCUUUGCCACCGCCGUGGCCCGCCUGCAGCCACUGCUCCUGCAGGGCCAGCGCAGCCGAGGGACGCCUGGCAGGGUCCUCCUGGAGAAGGAAACACACGAACUCCUUGGCCUUCUGGCUCACACCUUUAAAGCAGUCCUCCGGGAAACUAAAGUCUAGUCGGCAAAUGUUCAGGCAGGUCUCCUCCACACUGUCGUCGAGGAAGGGGGACACGCCGCUGAGAAGCACGUAAGCGAGCACUCCGACACUCCACGUAUCCGAGGUCAGGGAGAUGGGGUUCCCAAGGAUGAUUUCGGGGGCUGCAAACUCGGGGUUCCCCAGUAACUGAUGGAUGUAGUAGGUCGUGUUGAGUUGGACAGCAUCUCCAAAAUCGGCCAGUUUGAUCGUGGGCUUGGCCAGACUCUGAUCCACCAGAAUGUUUUCAGGCUGGAAGACAGGAAGAUAACCGUCAUUUCCACGGUCCCGAUCUCAAGCUCACGGUGCGGCUCACCAGGAAUCUAACGAGGUCAACUGAAGAAACUGCGUGCAGGGCAGGAUGAAAUUCUUGGCAUGCAGGCCGCUGCGGAGGAAGCAGCCCCGGCCGAAGCAGCCCCGGCCGGGAGGGAGUGCUGCCCCUGCUCGGCAGACAGCGCCCCUGCCAGGUUGGCAUGAAGCAGCCGUGUGGCAAAGUGCGGCCCAGGAAGCUGGGUGAUUGUUCCACUCUUACCACUAACGGUGACAUCUACCUUCCUUUCCCAGCCACCACAGAACCAGCCCCACACCAGCCUCGCAAACCUCACAGAACUCAUGAACUGUGUGAAGACCUCGAAUGUUUUACCUAGUACUCUACUGUUCAUACCAUUGCCCACCUCCUCCUACUUGUCCCCUGUGUGCAGUCAGACAGGCUGGCCUCGGCCCAGGAACCCCACUAACCUUUAGGUCCAGGUGUGCUAUCCUGCAGUUGUGAAGGUAUUGGACGGCUUCCAGAACCUCCCCCAGAUACGCCCUGAUCUUCCCUUCAGUGAGGUCUCCCCAUCGCACCACACAGUCCAGGAGACGCCCCUGGUCAGCCCUGUGGAGGCAGGAACGUGUGCAAUAGUCGUCACGGCGCUGGGUCACUGUAGAGACCUCUCCAGUGUAACAGGAAACACAGCUGUGUCUGCUUCCUAACAUUCCUCACAGUUAAUGUCCUAUGAGCCUGGCGCGUCAGGAUCCUGCCUCCACCUAAGGGCACAGCUCUAGCCAGAGGGGGAUUUCUUUUCAGCCUCACUAUGGAUAUAAGUGGGGACAAGGCCGCUCAGCCCUCAGAGGGAGUGGGAAAGGGGAAAGGAAGGCGAACUCCGGCCUCCUCGAUGUGGAGGGCAUGGCCUGGGCAAGCCGACAGCCACGCCAGGAGCGCCACAGACGCUCUGCAAGCAUUUGCUGUAGGAUGCAGUGGGGCCUUCGUUUUGUCACCCAUAAGACGGGCAAUGCAAAGGCCACAUGAGAUACUGGGAGUAAGGAGGCAGGCGUCAAGGACGUGAUGAGAAGACAGCCCUGGGAGGUGCUGCUGGGGUGUUCCCCAGCACACCCGCUGCCCCCGAGUCUGGCUUCACACCAGUUCCUCACUCUGAGGGGAGUGGGGAGGACUUGCUGUGGUGACUGACCCCUGCCAGCCACCUUAUAGGUAAGAGGUGCUACCUCUGCUCACUUGUGGCCUGGGCUGGAGGACCGCUCCCCCCCCCCCCCCCCCCCGCCCUAGCUCCCUGCCACCAGUCCCGCAGGCUGUGAAGUCCUAAGCCUUGCAACCAAGCACACCAAUACCCGGCCUUCAGUUAGAAUGACCCCAGCGCUCCCCUUCACCAAACGGAGAGCUGGGGGGCUGAGGGAACACCUGUUAACCGCGGCCUCUGAUCUCAUGCUGGACUCAGGAGGCUUCCUACUGUGAAUUCCUGUCAAUAGUUAAAAACCACUGAGAAGGCGCUGCCAGCGGGUCAGGGACUCCUGCCCAAGGUCCUCCAGCUGGGCUCAAGUGAAGGCCACAACUGCAGUGAGGCUCUCUGAACGUCUGGCUACCUGCUUGCUCUGUCUGCGAAACAGAAACUCAAAUGAAAACCAGCCACUUGUCUGCUAACGAGGAGGAACAGAGGAGAAUUUGGUAGCAAAUUCUAGUAACAGUCCAGUGAGGCUUAACCAUUCAGUUUUCCACUAAAAAGAAGGGACAGCUGAACACACUUAAAUUUUAAGCCAGAAACAGAAGCUGUGGAUUUUUAAGGACUUUAGGAUUUCUUGUUAAAAACCCCCAGAUGAGUAGUUGUUAGACAGCAGCAUCUUUCUCCCAGAUAUUGAGAGGCCAGGUCUCCGCCUGGACAUCUUGACCCCACAAGAACCCUCUCUAUGGCAAGACUAAAGAAUGCCAGGGGUGAGAAAGGAGCCCCAGGCCACGGAGCCACUGAAAGACACAGCAUGGACUGAAGCCAGCCUGGGAUGUGCCCAGGCCCCAAGUCCACCAAUCUGCCCUUUGCCCAUGAUGCACAGUUUAGGCGGCAGCCUCCGGGGGGCCUGCCCUACUCCCUCUGCCAUCUGAUAGGUUUGCUAUUCCAGAUGGAGGGGGUGGAACAGGCCCAUGACGUUGUGGCAGGAGCUGUUGGCAGUGCAGCCCUGGGUGCAGGUGCCCCUGAAACAUGCCUGUCCCAACCUUGCCCCUUGAAGGCACUUCUAAGUUAAGAAAAAGAAUACAUCUAACAGAAAAUCAGACACAGGGCCCUGAUGGAGUCUGUGCGAGGAGGCCCCUGAAACCCGAGCCCGUUGUCAUGUCAUGGGGAAGGUGCCCCUAGAGGUGUGGGGGUGCUCCUCCCGCCUGUCCUACCCUUUCCAUUUGAGAAUGCAUCAGGCACUACAACAUGACACAUGUUUGCUUUUGCCAGUGGAAAAGGAGUUGUAAAUCCGGGAAAAUAUAUGAAAGGACUCCCUGCUACAAAAGAAGGAACAGAGUUUAAACACAACUAAAUGCUAAGAUAUUUCCUAGAGGCCCGAAUGUUCUAGGGUGGGCUUCCCAACCCUGGUACUGCUAGCACUUUGGGACAGGUAACUCUGUGUGCAGGGCCAUCCCAGGUCCUGCAGGAUGCUGAGCAACAUCCCUGGGCUUUCCCCUCUAGAUGCUGGUGGCACCCCUCAACCCAAGUUGUGAUUAGCAAAAUAGUCUCCAGACAUGGCCAGAUGUCCCCUGGGGGGCAAAACUACGCUCAAAGGAGGACCACUGCUCUUGGGUCAGUUUUCAAACUCUUUCUUUAGGAGAUCAAGCCAUUUACUCAGGUAUAUGCAGAGCUCACUAAGCACCAAAGGGCCUGGGGGGCUGCUCUGGCUGAAGGCCCAGCCCUCUCCCAAGGACGUUCUCUGGGCAGGGUGUGUCUUCUCCUCCUCUCUGACCAUCCUGCAGUGGGCUGGAGCUCUGAGGGGCAGGACUGGACAUGAGCAAGGCCUCAAGGUCUCAGGGAGCCCACUCUGAGCACCCACAAGGUUCCCCUGGCUCCUCCGGGAUCCUGAGAACCACGUGGCAUCUUCAGGUUGGCCGAGACCCAGAAGCUACCAGGGUGGUGCUGAGGUGUUGUGAUGUUAGGCUCGUUGCUCCCUCAUUUGGACACGUGUGCUGAAGACUAUACUUCUUUCUAUUAUUACCGGAAUGCUCUAGAACUGUGGUCUCUGACAAUAGGCACAUAUAUAUGUAUUUUACGAGUUCUAUGGAUUCUGAAAUCCUGAUUUCUGUCCUUAGAGAACAAACAACAAUAAAAUCACUGAAAGUUGAGCCUGAGGCUUACAAACUGGGGAAGGAAAUGGGUGUGUACACACAUUUCUAACACCAGGACGUAGCUGGUGGGGGUCUCGAAGGUAUCAAGGAGACCAAUAAGCAGCGGGUGCUGGAGGUUCUGCAGGAUUCCAAGUUCAUGGGUGACCUGGUCACGCUUCAUCAACUUCUUGUUCACAAAUUUAGUGGCCACUGCUCGUUUGGUUCCUUUCUGAUCACAUUUCUUAACGACAGAGAAUCUGCCCCUAGAAAAUAGGUUGAGAAGAUAAUUUUCAGAGGACUCUGAGUACAUCACAGAGAAAAGACUCUGGUAAGUCUUAUGGGGCUGGAGGCAGGGUACCCCUGCUAGCUGGUGACCCAAGCCUUUCCACAGGCCUGGCUCUCCCUGGCCACUCAUGGAGGAGGGGCGGCCCUCAUGACCCCGAGGAAGCCUAACAGUAUCUGGUUCUCUCAGCCAUGCGGCUGUCUCCUCUCCUUCCUAGAGGCAUGCCCCAUUUCCUCACCCUGCAUCUGGGCAGGCCACGUGACUUCCUGGCCUCUGAAUAGGCAGAGGUGACGUUGUAGGACUCACCAGGCAGCUUCCACCUCUGCUUUCCUGGAAAAUCUUCUUGACCAGGUCAAGAAGCUUGAGCUGUACCUGGUGGCUGUGGUCACCCGCACUCCCUUCUACUGAGGAGAAGGGUCGGCUGGCAUCGCCAUGCCUGCAGCCUGCCUCUGUGGGAUGCAUGUAUGGGGCGGGUCACCCACCUGCAGCCCACAGCUUCUGAGGCUGUACCCAGUGAACCGCACCUUAGCAAGCCUCAGCAGCACGCUGACCUGACCUGGAGGCUCUUGGACCUCUCAUCUGAGCCUGCUACUGUGUGAUGGGAGGAGAGCACUGGGGAACAUGAGGGAUAGAAAUAAACCUGCGAGGGCUGACAUGGCCACACCACUUUGCUCCUCCUCCUCCACAGAGGUUUGUUUAGUCUAUCUCCCCAGCCUUCAAUCUUGCCUGGCCGGUGGGAUUUCGGGCCCACAAUGCACAGGAAGCAUGGCUCUUGAUUUCUGAGGCUGGGCCCUAAGAGGCCUUGCAGCUUCUGCUUUUGCAUCUUGACAUGCUUCUGCCAUGACGUGAGGAAGCCCCGGGUGAAAGUCUAUGUGGACAGAGGCCCAGCGUCCCAGCCACCUGAGCCCAGGAGAAACCAAUAGAAGGCCUGCCUGAUUAUUCACAUGUUGCCAGAAGUGACAGCGAGUGGUGUGCAUCAGGCAGCAAGGGGUAAGUGAUGGAGCCAUCAGCCCGAUCCAUACAAGUAUGCGAAGCUGAGCCACAUGACCCAGUCGGGCCGCUGGAUGGUAGGAGGCUGCUGCUGGCUGGGGGGGCUUCUUGGCAAGUCUCUUAAAAAGGGGACAAUUGUGCUCAGCUGCUGUGCUCCUGACCUCCUCCUCGCCACAUGGGUCAUGACCCGAGAAGUGGAGAAGUGCUGUGUGGACAGGCAGCACAGCCAAGUCAGAGGAGCCUGCCUGGGGGCCUCGGGGCGCCGCUGAGCCACUGCCCCAGGCCUGGCUGCCCCUGUCUCUUUUUGGGCAGGAGUACCCCGCCGCUCCACAUUCCCAACCUCAAGGACACAUUCAGCCUCUCUCAGCUGGGACUCCACAGGAGAAUGAAGUCCCACAGAGAAGGGUCUGAGUGACUUCCCUGUGACUUCUCAAGGAUGGGACACAGCUGGUACGGUCCUAGAUGCACAGCAGAGGACUUAAGUCUUUCCAUUAAUGGAUGGCUUAUAGUAUUAGACCUUAACUCUCUCUUGGAACUCAAGCUGAAAACAUCCUCUUUACUCCUUCAAUGUUUAAUACCAAAAGGCAAUGACAGGUUAUGUUUUAAACAUAACUCAAAUAACUCCCAACUAUGGCAAAAUACACUGCUUAAUUUUACCAACCUGCUCUUAUGGAGAGUUAGGUCAUACACUCUGCUUUCUUGGAGGGGCUCUGGGUUUUAUACUGUACCUGCCAAGCUCAGCCACUUCGCUGUAGAAGGAGUCAAAGUUGUCUUUCCAGGUCACCAUGAUCCCAUCACUCCCUGGACCUGCAAGAAAAGCACCAUCUCCCCUGAACUUGGUUUACAUGGCACAUCUUGGGGAAGAAGUCUAGAGGCCUGCACUGUCCAAUAUGGCAGCCACACAUGGCUACUGAGCAUCUCGACUGUGGCUCAUCGGAAUGAAGUCGUGCUAGAAGGGAAAAUACAUGCUGCAGAUUGGGACUUAGGACAAAAAGAGAUGGAUUUACGUGAAAGAAAUAAACAUACACUUCCUUUUCCAUGAUUUUCUCACUCGCAUCUCCAAGGUGGAAUCUUCUAUCUCCUUAAGCUCCUUUAGCUUUGCUGUUGAUUUAUUAUCAAGCAAAAAUCACCUGUGUGGUUUCUGGGACAUCUCUUACAAAUUAGAACGCUGGAGAUUCUUCACUUUUAAAUUCAAGAUUUUCUUUCUUCCUUGUGUCAUGAUCCAAGAAUCAGAUCAUUUUCUUUCUCUGGCUUAAGGAGGUUAAAAUAUCUGGGAUGAAGAUAUAUAUAAUAAAAAUGCGAAGAUAAUUCUUUCAUUGUCUACACACAGGGCGCUCCUGGACUCAGUUCACUUUUGUUCAGAUUCUUAUUUUUGCUCUUGGAAGCAGUUUCCUAGACCCUGUGCCGCUGAAGGAUGCACAAGAAAUGUCAGCAGCUGGGUACAGCACAGUUGGCCUUCUGAGAAGCUGUAGCUGCAAAUCAACUGGUACAUGUUGCCUACUGAGCAUCUCUAUGUGUCCAAUGCAGCCAGAGGAAACGUAAAAGGGCCUACGAUGUGGCUUCUGCCUCCAGUAGCUCACAGUCUGGCCAAGGGGAGAACAAGGACUUGCUGGGCUAUGGAGAGAGCAAGGGCUUCAGACCAGAGUGACUUGGGCCCUACCGUGGCUGCCCUGCGCUCAUGGAGGGACGCUGUUAGGGUGUCAGGGAAGCACAGAGCCUGCACAGGCCUCAACCACACUGCUUCCUUUCCCCUCCAGUCCAUGCAAGACCAACUUCGAGAAGAUUCUCUCAGAGCCAAAGUGUCAAAUUAAAUACGAGGAUGUGCUUUGAGCACAGGGAACACAGAACAUCCUAUGUUCUGGCUCGGAGGCUGGCACCGGACACUCAGCUGCCCAUGAACCUCUCCGAAGACCUGAGAGGUGCAAGAGGUCACUUGCCCCGGGAUGCCCUAGACACCACGGUCUGCCACUCGAAGCUCUGGUUGGAAAGGCCCCACACGUGACUCAGUGCCCAGCAUCUUAGACCACGGUGAGCUUGUCCGUGCGGGAUGGGGUCCCCGGACCUGAGAGUCCCGGGAGAGGUGUGCCACCGGCUCAGGGAUGCAGCUUACCCAGCACCCUCAGACUGGCCGAAGACGAGGCUGAACCCAUAUCGUUCACAGCGAUGCAUGUGUAGAUGCCAUCAUCUUCUGUGGUCACGCCGACGAUCUUCAAAGCGGCCUCUCCCAAGUCACUGCCACACAGAUGACAACACACUGUGGGUCACGAAUGCGCAGCUCCCCCAGUGACUGCCCCCACCCCAUCUCCUUUGGGGUCACAGAAAAUCACAGAGGAAUUACUGGCAAGGAAUUUCAAGUGGAAUUUUAAUUUUUAUUGCACAUCUUGGUAUGAAAUGCUCCCUUGUGGGCAGGUGUCAGGGUGCCCAGGGUAACCAUGGGGUUGACUGUGUCGGUCACAGUGGGCAGUUUCUCUGCCAGUGAGCCUCAUCCUCACCUGUAGGAGAUGCUGUAGUGACCAUCGUUGUUCAGGGUGUUGUGCUCAGGGCCCUUCCAGGUGAUUGAGGCCUUGGGGCGGCCACAAACCCGACAUCUAAAAACAACGGUCUCCCCUGUCUCACACGUGACCUCACUCAAGGGAAUGACGAAUUCUGGGGGAACUGCAGGAAAAAGGAGUGACACUGGUCAUCCCUGGCUCCCCUCCUACACCCGCCAACCCUAACACGCAAAUGAGACUGUCGCCCACACCCAGAGCUCCAUAGAAAACCCGCUCCCCAGGUCACACCCCAAUGUUCUACAGCAGGCCCCGGAGACCUGACACUGUGAGACUGAAGGAACAAGGUGACGCAACUCACCGUCAUAUAUGUAGUUGGGAUUGAGAAGCUGGAACGGAAAAAGCACACAGGUGUUACCCAGAAACAUGAACUGUUUUGAAGUAUACGACUUUUUUUCCCAAGACACAAUUACCUCUGAGAGAUGAAGAGAAAUAACUUGGCUUUUAUAGGUCUCAAAACAGCGUGUUUUCAUUGCCUUUAAAUGUACUCAAAAAGCCUCAUGUCAGGCAGCCCAGGUGGCUCAGCGGUUUAGCGCCGCCUUCAGCCCAGAGCGUGAUCCUGGAGACCCUGGAUCGAGUCCCACGUUGGGCUCCCUGCAUGGAGCCUGCUCCUCC